AUCGAACGCUGGCGGCAGGCUUAACACAUGCAAGUCGAGCGAGCGGCGGACGGGUGAGUAAUGUCUGGGAAACUGCCUGAUGGAGGGGGAUAACUACUGGAAACGGUAGCUAAUACCGCAUACCAUCAGAUGUGCCCAGAGGGGAUGAGCUAGGAUGUGGGGUAAUGGGUCACCUAGGCGACGAUCCCUAGCUGGUCUGCGAGGAUGACCAGCCCCACUGGAACUGAGACACGGUCCAGACUCCUACGGGAGGCAGCAGUGGGGAAUAUUGCACAAUGGGCGCAAGCCUGAUGCAGCCAUGCCGCGUGUGUGAAGAAGGCCUUCGGUUUGUAAAGCACUGUCAGCGAGGAGGCGUUACUCGCAGAAGAAGCACCGGCUAACUCCGUGCCAGCAGCCGCGGUAAUUC
rnacentral:rRNA from 1 species